rnacentral:rRNA from 1 species
UAGGGAAUCUUCCGCAAUGGACGAAAGUCUGACGGAGCGACGCCGCGUGAGCGAAGAAGGUCUUCGGAUCGUAAAGCUCUGUUGUUAGGGAAGAAGAAGUGCCGUUCGAACAGGGCGGCGCGGUGACGGUACCUAACGAGAAAGCCCCGGCUAACUACGUGCCAGCAGCCGCGGUAAUACGUAGGGGGCGAGCGUUGUCCGGAAUGACUGGGCGUAAAGGGUACGUAGGCGGCCAGGUAAGUCAGGUGUGAAAGUCUAGGGCUCAACCCUAGUGAGCACUUGAAACUGCUUGGCUUGAGUCGAGGAGAGGAAGGUGGAAUUCCUGGUGUAGCGGUGAAAUGCGUAGAUAUCAGGAGGAAUACCAGUGGCGAAGGCGACCUUCUGGCCUUGGACUGACGCUGAGGUACGAAAGCGUGGGGAGCAAACAGG